GGGCCCGCACAAGCGGUGGAGCAUGUGGUUUAAUUCGAUGAUACGCGAGGAACCUUACCUAGGCUUAAAUGUAGAUUGACGUAUUGGGAAACCAGUAUUUCUUCGGACAAUCUACAAGGUGCUGCAUGGUUGUCGUCAGCUCGUGCCGUGAGGUGUCGGGUUAAGUCCCAUAACGAGCGCAACCCCUAUCAUUAGUUGCUAACAUUUAGUUGAGGACUCUAAUGAAACUGCCCGCGUAAGCGGUGAGGAAGGUGGGGAUGACGUCAAAUCAUCACGGCCCUUACGUCUAGGGCUACACACGUGCUACAAUGGUAACUACAGAGGGAAGCUAUCUGGUGACAGUGAGCAAAUCCUUAAAAGUUAUCCCAGUUCGGAUUGUACUCUGCAACUCGAGUACAUGAAGUUGGAAUCGCUAGUAAUCGCGUAA
rnacentral:rRNA from 1 species